UCCAUCAAGCUUGCUUGGUGGUGAGAGUGGCGGACGGGUGAGUAACGCGUGGGUAACCUGCCCUGUACUGGGGGACAACAGUUGGAAACGACUGCUAAUACCGCAUAAGCGCACGGGAUCGCAUGAUCCGGUGUGAAAAACUCCGGUGGUAUGAGAUGGACCCGCGUCUGAUUAGCUAGUUGGCAGGGCAACGGCCUACCAAGGCGACGAUCAGUAGCCGACCUGAGAGGGUGACCGGCCACAUUGGGACUGAGACACGGCCCAAACUCC
rnacentral:rRNA from 1 species